AUUGAACGCUGGCGGCAGGCCUAACACAUGCAAGUCGAGCGAGAGGCGGACGGGUGAGUAAUGUAUGGGGAUCUGCCUGAUAGAGGGGGAUAACUACUGGAAACGGUGGCUAAUACCGCAUACUAUCGGAUGAACCCAUAUGGGAUUAGCUAGUAGGUGGGGUAAAGGCUCACCUAGGCGACGAUCGCUCGCUGGUCUGAGAGGAUGAUCAGCCACACUGGAACUGAGACACGGCCCAGACUCCUACGGGAGGCAGCAGUGGGGAAUAUUGCACAAUGGGCGCAAGCCUGAUGCAGCCAUGCCGCGUGUAUGAAGAAGGCCUUAGGGUUGUAAAGUACUUUCAGCGGGGAGGCGUUACCCGCAGAAGAAGCACCGGCUAACUCCGUGCCAGCAGCCGCGGUAAUUC
rnacentral:rRNA from 1 species